rnacentral:rRNA from 1 species
UACGUAGGGACCAAGCGUUGUUCGGAUUUACUGGGCGUAAAGGGCGCGUAGGCGGCAAUUCAAGUCAUCUGUGAAAUCUCCGGGCUUAACUCGGAACGGUCAGAUGAUACUGCUUUGCUAGAGUGCGGAAGGGGCAAUCGGAAUUCUCGGUGUAGCGGUGAAAUGCGUAGAUAUCGAGAGGAACACCUGAGGUGAAGACGGGUUGCUGGGCCGACACUGACACUGAGAGACGAAAGCUAGGGGAGCGAAUGGG